UACGGAGGGUGCGAGCGUUGUUCGGAAUCACUGGGCGUAAAGGGCGUGUAGGCGGUCCGCUAAGUCUGAUGUGAAAGCCCGGGGCUCACCCCCGGAAGUGCAUUGGAAACUGGCGGACUCGAGUCCCGGAGAGGAGAGUGGAAUUCCAGGUGUAGCGGUGAAAUGCGUAGAUAUCUGGAGGAACACCGGUGGCGAAGGCGGCAUCCUGGACCGGCAUUGACGCUGAGGCGCGAAAGCCAGGGGAGCAAACGGG
rnacentral:rRNA from 1 species